CUGCUGCCUCCCGUAGGAGUCUGGUCCGUGUCUCAGUACCAGUGUGGGGGACCUUCCUCCCAGAACCCCUACGCAUCGUCGCCUCGGUGGGCCGUUACCCCGCCGACUAGCUAAUGCGACGCAUGGCCAUCCUAUGCCGGAGUCGCCUCCUUUGACCCCAAGAAGAUGUCUCCUAAAGGUGUUAUGCGGUAUUAGACGGAAUUUCUUCCGCUUAUCCCCCUGCAUAGGGCAGGUUCCAUACGUGUUACUCACCCGUGCGCCGGUCG
rnacentral:rRNA from 1 species